UACGUAGGUGGCAAGCGUUUGUCCGGAUUUACUGGGCGUAAAGAGCGCGCAGGCGGUCGAUCAAGUCGCGUGUGAAAGCCCCCCGGCUCAACUGGGGAGGGUCACGCGAUACUGAUCGACUCGAAGGCAGGAGAGGGUAGUGGAAUUCCCGGUGUAGUGGUGAAAUGCGUAGAUAUCGGGAGGAACACCAGUGGCGAAGGCGACUACCUGGCCUGUUCUUGACGCUGAGGCGCGAAAGCUAGGGGAGCAAACGGGG
rnacentral:rRNA from 1 species